rnacentral:misc_RNA from 1 species
CGUAUUAGGGCUGCCCUCGGCGCUCUUUACACACCCACCCUUUGCCUAUGCGUACCUCUGAUAGCUUCCUCGGCGGGCUCGCCCCGCCGACAGGAACCCCCAUAACCCCUUGCAUCGUACACGAACACUUCCGAUACCCACCUUAAAUUAUCA